UACGUAGGGUGCAAGCGUUACUCGGAAUUACUGGGCGUAAAGCGUGCGUAGGUGGUUUGUUAAGUCUGUUGUGAAAGCCCCGGGCUCAACCUGGGAAUGGCAAUGGAUACUGGCAGGCUAGAGUGCGGUAGAGGGUAGUGGAAUUCCCGGUGUAGCGGUGAAAUGCGUAGAGAUCGGGAGGAACACCGACGGCGUAGGCAGCGCCCUGGCUGUGAAUAAAGCUGACACUGAGGCACGAAAGCUGGGGGAGCAAACAGG
rnacentral:rRNA from 1 species